GCAUGGCUUGAUUUGUGGUGGGAUCCAUUACAUGAUCCUUUCAUAGUGUACUCCAUGCUAGAUUAAAGGUGUAUCCUUAGCCAUUGACGGGCCUUGAUUUAAUGUAGGCCUGAUUCACUGAAGUGGGUAGCACAGAA